rnacentral:rRNA from 1 species
AAAACAUGUCUUCUUGAAAUGAUAUGAAGUCGUGCCUGCCCAAUGAGUAUUUGAAUGGCCGCGGUAUACUGACCGUGCAAAGGUAGCAUAAUCAUUAGUCUCUUAAUUGGAGGCUGGAAUGAAUGGUUUGACGAAACAAUUACUGUCUCUUGAUAAUGGUUUGAAUUUUACUUUUGAGUUAAAAGGCUCAAAUGUUGAUAGGGGACGAGAAGACCCUAUAGAUCUUGAUAAUUUAUAUUAAUUUUUUUGUUUGGAUGGUAUUUAUUGAAUUUUAGUAUAUUGUAUUUGGUUGGGGUGACAAGGGAAUAUAAUAACUUCUUAUUAUUUAACUAUGAUGAUUGGUUAAUUGAUCCUAUAUUAUGGAAUAAAGAUAAAGAUACCUUAGGGAUAACAGCGUAAUGUUAUUGGAGAGUUCUUAUUGAUAAUAAAGAUUGCGACCUCGAUGUUGGAUUAAGAAAAUUAUUAGGUGCAGAAGCUUAAUUUAUUGGUCUGUUCGACCAUUAAAUUCUUACGUGAUCU